GGAGAAUCAGUUAGAAUUGAGGUGUGUAGGAAGUGCGGGGAUCUGAGGGGCAGUAUCCCAGGUUCUUUCCGGACAGAAACAGGUAUAGGCUGGUAGAACAAGAAAGGGCGAGACAUCCAAGCACGUGUGUGCAUGUGUGUGUGUAGUGUUGUGUGUAUAUGCUCAUCUCUGUGCUCAUGUAUGCACGUGUGGAAAUAGGGGGAAAGUACUGUUCUUGACCAUUAUUAGCAAAGGGCCCUGGAAAACGACCUACCGGAAGAAGAGCUGCAGUAUUUUGGGAGUCCGAUAAUCUAUAUCCAGGGCUUGGGAGAACCAGAAUCUGUGUCUGGAGAUCAUCUGUUCCUAACCCAGAAAGAGUAAGCAUCUACACAGCCAGGGACUGUGGCUGGGUCUUCAUAGCCUUCUUGGAAGCUGGAUCCAGAGCAGCCUUUGUUGCUCAGCCCUGCCAGCAGGAGGCACACUAUUCCACCUGUUCAUUGAAGAGAAGAAUUGGAGAGGCAAAGAGGAGCUGCCAGCUCCCUGGAAUCCUGCUCUGAAUAGAAAGAGGUGAAAGGCAUCAAAGAGAUCGGCCAGUUUUCAUUUUAUAAUUGAAUAAACUGAGGGCUAGGCAGGGUGACUUGCCCAAUGUCCCAUUAGAAGUGAGUACAGGAGCUGGGGCCAAUGCAUAGCUGCCACCGUUGCUGGGGGCUAGAGCAGGAAGAGGGACCACCUUGCAGUUAUGGGGCAAGGGGCACCUUGGAAAACUGGAAGGACCUAAAGGAGGUGGGGUAAGCAGGAGAUGAGUGACCAAAGUUGAGUUGUGUGUAUUGCGGGGAGGGGGAGAGCUCUCCUCUUUCAAGCCCGAGUGACUCAGGCUCCAGCUGCUCCCGCGUCACAUGAGUC